rnacentral:rRNA from 1 species
AGAGUUUGAUCAUGGCUCAGAUUGAACGCUGGCGGCAUGCUUUACACAUGCAAGUCGAACGGUAACAUGAAGAAAGCUUGCUUUCUUUGAUGACGAGUGGCGAACGGGUGAGUAAUACAUCGGAACGUACCCUGUAGUGGGGGAUAACUACUCGAAAGAGUGGCUAAUACCGCAUACAACCUGAGGGUAAAAGUGGGGGACCGCAAGGCCUCACGCUAUAGGAGCGGCCGAUGGAAGAUUAGCUAGUUGGUAGGGUAAAGGCCUACCAAGGCGACGAUCUUUAGCGGGUCUGAGAGGACGAUCCGCCACACUGGGACUGAGACACGGCCCAGACUCCUACGGGAGGCAGCAGUGGGGAAUUUUGGACAAUGGGGGCAACCCUGAUCCAGCAAUGCCGCGUGAGUGAAGAAGGCCUUCGGGUUGUAAAGCUCUUUUGUUUGGGAAGAAAUCCUUAGUGAUAAUACCGCUGGGGGAUGACGGUACCAAAAGAAUAAGCACCGGCUAACUACGUGCCAGCAGCCGCGGUAAUACGUAGGGUGCAAGCGUUAAUCGGAAUUACUGGGCGUAAAGCGUGCGCAGGCGGUUUUGUAAGACAGGUGUGAAAUCCCCGAGCUCAACUUGGGAACUGCACUUGUGACUGCAAGACUAGAGUGUGUCAGAGGGAGGUAGAAUUCCACGUGUAGCAGUGAAAUGCGUAGAGAUGUGGAGGAAUACCGGUGGCGAAGGCGGCCUCCUGGGAUAACACUGACGCUCAUGUACGAAAGCGUGGGGAGCAAACAGGAUUAGAUACCCCGGUAGU